ensembl:processed_transcript
CAGGAAAAUAUAAACUGCUUUAUUGUAAGCUAGUUUCCUCUUAUUGAAUAGCAAAAAGAUGAAGAUAUAUCUAGUUUACAAGGUCUGAAUCAAAACUUUUGACAAAAAUUGGAUUAAAGCUUAAUAUAAAAUCAUGUUCCAUUUAUAUUUUGUGUUCAUAUAUAUUAAAAAUCUGUAUGUAUAUGCAUGUAUGUGUAUAUGUGUGUAUAAAUAUAUACAUUCAUUCAUUCAUUUACACAGAGACAGAUAUAGAAAUAAACAUUGGUGAACCAGAAGUAAUAUCCAAAAUUCAUAUCUUAAGAAAUAGGACACUGUAAACAUUAUAACAACAACAUUAAAUGGUCUUCAGAACAGCUUGACUCUUGGGAUGGUGCUCCCUGUUAAAUAUUAUCCUUUGUAGCAUCUUUUCUCCUUGCCGUAAAGAUUUGAAAGUCACCAAAGCCACAUAUUUCUUCUUCCUCCUCCUCUUGCUUGUAUACUAUAUAUUCAACAGUUGGUCUUCCUGUUCCUAUAAUUGCAACAAUAGUCUUCCAACUUCUCUGCUUCUUCUUCUUCUUUAACUUUCUGGUAUCUGGACCAAGUUGCUGCUGAAGAGCAUCAACAGAAACCACUACAUCAGCCU